AGUAAUCCAACAAUAAAACUGCACUAAAAGAAAAACCAGUUUAAACCGGAUUAGUCUGGAUGUUCAUCCGCAGACUACGGUGGUGAUCCCGCCACUUUCUGAGUCCCAAUUUUCUCAAAGUUUGAUCAGGCUUGUGGCUGGAUGGAAACAAAAUGGCUGCUUUCCUGCAAUGAAAAGUGAGACCUGCUGAGAACAGAUGCAGAGUUUGUGCUGAUCUCAGUCGCUCUGUCAUCCCAACGUGGACCGGAUCCCAGAACGGUUCACACUCCUGCAGACGCCCUGCCAGCAUGAACCGGAUAAAAAUAAACCUACUGAUGAAACACAAUCGGCCUAUUUAAAGGAGGCGUUUCUUCAGGUUUACACCAGAUGUUGAAAAGGUGUAAACGCGCUUCCUGUCAGCGCCGCCGCCACCGAACAGACGCGUUUCCACGUCGCCUCGGCUCACACAGGCGGAGCUGUUUUCUCCUCAGGCUUCACUCGGUGAAGUGAGAUCUCCAGUCAGGCAAGUGUUUGGUUUUUUUACCGCUAUGGACAAAGAAAUGGUUCAUAUGUGAAAACUGGGAUUGUGGAUGCAAAGUAAAACUGAGUGACGGCUUACAA